ACUGGGAGAAACCAUAUCAGGCAUCAUGGAACAGUGUGUCCCUGUUUCUGAUUCCAAAGGGAUUCUAAUUUGAUUUCCAAAGUCCAGCUUAGAGGAACAUCAAAAUCUGCUGGGAAAGUAAGUACACAGAGCCAUGAAAUCGCAGUGGAAGCCGUUAGCACACUGUAAACACCGUUUCUACUGCAGUGGGCCAGGCAUUCUUUCUCAGAGCCAGGGGAAGAGUGGAGGAACUGGGUCCUUACCCCACGGAACUCCGGCUGUAUGUGAGGGAGAGGGCAGCACCCACAUGCUCCAGUAAACAGGGAAACCUCAGGGAAUCCCCAGCUGACCAGAGGCAAGAAGCCCAGUGACAGCUGCCUUGCCCUGCCAGAGGACGUUUCUGAUGAAAGCCCCAUGUACUGUCUCAAGCUGCAGGAGUUUCUCAGGUGGGCUUGACCCUACUUCAAGUUCUCCCACAUCUCCCUAUUUCAAGAUCUCCCACAUCUCCAGCACAAGGAAAAGUACCUUGUGUUUUGACGCUGCCGACGAAAAGGUUGAAACUAUUAGCACAAUUUUAAAGUCAUAGUGGCACAGAGUUGC